GUCAUCCCCUUUUACGCAGUAGAUAAAAACCAUGUGCUUCCAAUUGGGCUUCUGUGCAUAGGAGGCGACGAGGGAGGAGGUGGAGAGUGAGACGGGAUGGAGAAAACAAUUGUUUAAAAAUGGACAGGAGUGGGGGGAGAAAAGAGCUGGAGAACAAGGAGUCAGCAAGGAGGCAUCAGUAAUAUGGGCACAAAGAACUGGCUGCAGAGGUUCUGCCCAUCAUACGUCCAUCGGUUUUGUUUGGUCACCUAUUACUUGAACAUAGAUGAAGCAAGAGGAUUCUUUGAAAGUCCCCUACCUUCAGAAGUACCAAUCUAAGAAGACCCCAUAUCAGAAAGUGAACAUGACCAGACAGCCUGCCUGACAAUCAGUCUACAACCCUAAAAACUAAGACUUGAGAAACUGUUGCCUGAAGUAGACAUUGCAUGGAAUUUGUAUCACAAUACAAUUGGAUAACAUCACAGAGGGAGAGUUAAGUUUUCCAGUGUGAUUCAGUAUUCAGCUCUUGAGCUGAGAAUGUAUGUGUUUAUAUUAAGGCUUUGGUUUACAAUUCAUGAGAAUGUGGCCUGAGAGCUUGGCAAUUAAAAUCUACAUUUGUUAUGUUUUAGAGAACACAGGAAUAUUCCCUUUAGUAAGUCAAUAAUUUCCUUAAUGUGUUUUUUUGUUUUGCUUUUUUUGUUCAUGGUUUCUUUAUUCUUAGAGGAUAUAUGUUCAGGCAGGUCCACAUCAUACAUUUAAAGCACAUCCAAUGGACAUUUAAAGCACAUGACUUCCCCCAAAGAAUCAUGGGAACUGCUGUUUGUUAAGGAAGCUGGGAAUUUGUAGCUUUGUGAGGGGGAAAAAUCACAGUUUCCAGAAUUCUUUGGGGGAAGUCAUGUGCUUUAAAUGUACAGUGUGGAUCCGCUCUUGAAAACCAAAACAUUUAAACAUGCAAGCAACACAAACAGACAGACUGACCAAAGAUCUAGACAGGAUGCCAAAAGCAUUGUGCUGUGCGGUUCCUUUUCAGCUGUAAAAACAAUCUCAACCCUGAAAUUCUGCCAUAUAGUCAUAAGAUAAAAAAAUCCCAUGUGACCAUACUAGGAUCUGCAAAUACAUUCUCUCUAUCCCAUGCAGCUAUUUACACUUGUCUAGUCCAUGAGCAAGAGAAAGGGUCUUUUUGUCUGGGAUUCUGAAUUCAUAAAUCUAUUCAUUUUUAUUGCUUCAUUAUAUAAGGCUGUUUCAGAUUAGCAAGAGGUGUUUAUAAAACGAAAGACUGAGCCCUUUUCAGUAGUUGUCUGUGAUGUUCUAUUUGCUCUGAUUAUAUAAACCCAAUGUAAGAAUGUGAUUAUAAAGGUUCUCUGUUUCUAUAUAAUCUUGUAACAAUUACAUCCAGAAAGAUAGAUUGAACCGAUUCAAGUCUUUAAUAAUGUGGGCAAGGUUGCAACCCUAAACAUACCUACUAAGGAGUAAG